AUGACUUCUACUCUUACAUGGGCUAUCGCAGGCGGAAGUGUUGACGGUAGCAGAGAGGAGAUAUUCCGAAUUCUUCAGGGGUGGACAGAUUAUAAGGUCAUCUAUUUACAUGGUUGGGGUGGACUGGGGGCGUCUGCUGUCCUUAGAUCCAUAGCAGAAGUGCUCCCAUAUAGGAGAACCACUCCAGAACUAUGCUUUGAUAAGAUAAUCCAUAUAGAUUGUUCUGAUUGGAAAAAUAGAAGAGGAUUGCAGAGGGCAAUCGCAGAGGAACUGGAGCUGGAAAGCUCAAUAAUGGCUGUUCUGGAUAAACAGGAUGAAUUUGAUGAUUUUCAGGGAGUUGAUGAAAGCUCUAGGAAUGAGAUAACAAGUGUGUCAAGAGAGAUCCACAAUAUUCUGAAAUACAGCAGAUUUGUGUUGAUUUUUCAUAAUGGUAGUGACAACGAGAUUGCUAACCUAGUCAACUUUGGUGUUCCUCCGAUUACAAGUUUUGGUGACAAUGUGAUGAUAUGGACCUACAGAAGGAGGAUGUUGACAAUAAAAAAAUACGAAGAAGAUGAACUGCUACAUGAACUGAGGUACACUCAUCUUUUCGUUUAUGAUAGGAUGGGGUUUCUAGCACCUGGACAGUUGUAUGAACUACUGUGUAAAGAGGCUGACAUCAUAGUUGCUCGCAAUCCAUGCAUCCAGGGAGUUAAUCAAUUAAUGGUUGUCCAUUGUUGUUUGUACAAACUAUUCCUGCAAUGUAGUGUUUCCAAGAAUAAUUCUAAUUGGGUUGAUGUUGCUUCCAAUUAUUGGAUAUGUGAUGGAAUACUACCAAAAGACAUAACAUUGGAGACAAGUGAUGCAUUGCACCGAGAAAUAACCUGGAAGUGGGAUGAUAAUGUGCUCACAAAGUUCAAGGAACAUUUCGAGCUUCCUUUCCUCAUAGUGAAAGAAGAUGAUGUGUAUGAAGAAGGACCAUACCGUUGGAUUUCAGUCACAUCGAGGGAUAGGGAAAUGCUUGGUAUGAAAACUUUACCUGCAGAGACAUCAUCAUUCUUCUUGGAAUUUGUAAUGUCCGAUCAGCCAACAAUGUUACCAAAUGGUUUGUUUGAACAUUCCAGCAACCUUGGUGCACUGACUCUCCGUUGUUGUGCCUUCAGUUUUGCAUCACCUCCUUUCCUAAAAUGCCAUAAUCUAAGAUUCCUUGGACUAGACCACUGUACAGAUGACAAAAUAGGGGAAGGAGAGGAUCAUACUGAGUGGGUUUGUCUGCAUAGUUUGUGGGUAUUGGACCUACGUUACACCCAUUGGAAUGAAAUCUUAUCACCGGCAAAGAUGGAUCUCAUGGAUAACCUCAUGGAGCUAAGCAUAGAGGGGGUCUGGUGUUGGCAGUACACAACUUGCUUACAAGGCCGACUACUGAAUCUUCAAAGGCUCAGGGUAAUCAAGCCUACACGUGGACCAGAUAUUUCAACAGAUGCAAGCAACUCGUUAAUGGACAAGGCAAAGCUGGAAAUACUUGACCUGUCAGGCAACAAUGAGAUGGAAAUUCUACCAAACAGCCUGUCUAAGGCAAGUAGCCUUCAAGUGCUUAUUUUGGAUGGAUGCAAUGAUCUUAAAAAUGUCCUUGUGCCUGAUGGGCUACCCCAGUCGCUGAAGUCCUUUAGCUUUGAUGGCUGUGGGCCAGCUUUCCGCCGGGCACCAAUUGUUGAGCUACCUCCCAAACAAGAACGCCCGUCAACCCCAGCAACUAAGGAGGGGGCUAGUGUCUCUAAUAUUUCCCUCAAAGGUUGCUCACAGUUGGCACAUAUGUUCGUUCGUGGGUUGCCCAACCUUGUUGAGCUUGACCUCUCUGGAACUACAAUUAGGACACUUGAUUUCAGUACUAUGGUGUUAGAAGUUCCAAUGCUGAAGCGAUUAUUUCUGCUAGGAUGUGAGCACCUUCGUGCAAUAAUUUGGGGCAGGAAUACUGAUAGCUUCCGUUUGAAAUUGUUAUGCAUAGAUACGCGAGCUGGAACUAGCUUUCAUCGGCCGUGCAUUAACCAGAACGAAGCCAUUUGGCUGGAGGUGCAUGCCAUUGUUGUGGAUGCGAGGCUUGCUCGGUCGUUGCGGCAACUAUUAUAUAAUCGUUAUGCAGCUGAUGAGAAUGUUUAUCUUAAUAUCCAUGUCACCUCAGCUGUGUAUAGUGAGCUGAAUCAAUCCAAAGUGACAGACAAGGAGAAGAAGAUUGGCAUGUAUGGAGAUCAAGUUAGCCUGCCGCAGCUUGUUCAAGCAGACCGGUACAGUGAUGUCCAAAGCAUGGUUGGUGAUGCCCCGAUGCAGGACUUCCCUAAGCCUCCCACUAACAACGUAGAUCGGCAUAUUGAGAUUGCUGAAGGGAGGCACGCCUUGGACAGUGGACUGGGAUAUCUUAUGACAUGGUUUGCCGAAUCCCUGCAUGUCCACGAUGUCUUAACUAGUGCUUGUUUGCCUAAUGGAUACAGCUGGCUGGUUCUCAAGCAGUGCCGGAUGGAGAGGUGCCCCAAGUUAGGUGAAGUCUUCCCCUUGGGAAUAUAUGAAUUGAAGGAGCUGGAGACCUUCUGGGCGUCAGAUCUCCUAAUGGCCUGCUGGAUACGCAGUAAAGGUUACCGCAUGAUCAAUGAUGGUUCAUUCAGAAAGCUGCAGCAUCUACGGUUGCGCUCUUGCCCCAGGCUCCAGUUCGUGCUCCCUGUGUGGGUCGACUCCUUCCCAAGUUUGGAGACCCUCCACAUCAUCCACUGCGGAGACCUGAGGCAUGUAUUCGUGCUAAACGACAAAUGGUACCCAGAAGAAAUAUCCAUCCAAGUUGUAGCAUUCCCGAAGUUGACCACCAUCCACCUGCACGACCUGCCAGUGCUGCAGCAGAUCUGCGAGGUCAAGAUGGUGGCACCGAACCUCAAGACCAUCAAGAUCAGAGGAUGUUGGGGCCUGCGCCGGCUGCCGGUGGUGGGGCCCCGUAGCAGAGACAUGAAGAAGCCGACCGUCGAGAUCGAGAAAGACGUCUGGGACGCUCUGGAGUGGGACGGGGGUGCGGCCCCUGGCCACUUCGAGGCGCCCGUGCACUCGCGCUACUACAAGAAGAAACUACCCAGGGUGUCCGUGCUCAGGUGA
rnacentral:rRNA from 1 species